rnacentral:piRNA from 1 species
CAGACUUGCAAGACGUGAUUUUGUAG